rnacentral:tRNA from 1 species
AGGAGAGUGGUGCAACAGAAGUGUGCUGGGCCCAUAACCUAGAGGUCGAUGGAUCAAAACCAUCCUCUGCUA